CCACCUGCAGCAUCCCGCCUACCGCCUUGGCCGUCCCGCCCCCCGAGGCUGAGGCCGCCCUGCAGCCUCCUGUAGGCGCGCACGCGGCUUAAGCGGCCCUCUUCGGCUUCCGUCCGCGCGCUGUAGGCCCGGGCUCUGCUGCCCCCUGACGGCGGGCGGUGCGCGCUGGCCGGAAGUGCGCGCGGGUAGCGGGACGAGGUACGGGGUCGACAGACAGAGAUACAAAGAACACUUCAGUAGAAGUCGCGGAUUGUUGCACCUGCGUGGAAAGGAUGCGCCAAGAAGGCGGCGGCCUAGCGCAGCCAGCGCCCGGGACGCGGCCCCACUGGGCCUGCAGGUCCUCCACGGCGGCGGCGGCGGCACACGCAGUGGACUAAGGGGCUGCUAGGAGCCCUCGGUGUCGGUGUUGUCGCUGCCGGUGGUGUUCUCCCAGUCCACCUCUCCCUGCAUGGAGCUGUGCAGCACCUUCCUGAGCGCCCGCUUCCUGGGGAAAACCCGGAAGCACUGGCAGGUGCACACUGCAGCAGCUGGGACCAGAACAUUCCAGGCUGCUGGCCCCUCCGAAUCUGCCGUGGCUGGUUGGGCCCAGGGCUCGGGACCAACCCUGGGACAGAAGGUGCUGUGCCUGGCCGGCUUCCCUAAGCCUGGGCGCCCAGUCUCCCUGGGGCUGGCGCCUUCCCCUCCUCUGCUCUGACCCUAAAGCUUGCUCCAGCUCCUGAGAGGGACAGUCCCCCACGGGCAGGAGCUCCCGGACCUGACUAAGGUGGCAGCCUCCCCAUCCUACUUGCAGCCUGCUGGGUCCUACCUGACCCCACCCAGGAACUCAGCACCUCAAGUUUGUGUCUGGGAGCAGCAGAUGGCCUGACCCUCACUUCUGCAUUUGCCGCCCCAAUUCCUCUUUUGCCCCAACCCCCACCCCUUGGAAGCUGGGGUCAGGCCUCUCGCCGAGGAAGUCUGGCUUCUCACGCCACCUCUGUGGUGGCCCUGCCUCCCCCACCCACUCCAUGCCCAGAACAGGGCUCCUUCCCAGGUCUCCUGACACCCACCUUCAGAAUGGGCCCCCCCAACCUCUGGCUGCCUGCUGUGGGCCAUCUCCCAGCUGCCAGUCCCGUCUCCAGCACCCAGCACCCCCUCCCUGUUGAGGCGCAUCUGAGCAUCCCGACCUGCCUCCCAGCUCCCUGCCCAGGAGGAGGUGCUGCACUCCUGGGUCCCAGGGUGCCUCUGAUGGGGGUGUGUUCUCUGUGGGAGCUGGGCUGUGAACCCUGAAAACUUUGGCGAAGGUUCCCAGGGGCUCCGUUUGCUCACUGGGGAACUUGGGAGUCACUUAUCCCCAACCUCAGUGUCCGCAUUUGUAGAGUGGGGCUGUGUGUGUGUCAGGGGUCAGGGCUGGCACCAACUUAGGGUGAGGGAAGCUUCAGCCUGAGUCCUUCGGGGCAGGAUGCCUCCUCCUCACCUUUGUCCGAGAGCUGGGAAUCCUCCUCUAGGUCCUGCGGGGGUGAGAGCUUCCAGAGAGAGUGGGCAGCCACUUAGACCAGUGCCCGCUUGGGCUAGACCCCUCUCCCCACUGCACAGCACCUCAGGAACCUGUACUGCCCAGCCAGGCCUGGCAGGAGGGACCCGCCACAAGGGCCACAAGCUGGCUGCCACCCAGGCCUUUCUUGCCCAGAGCACACAGAGGCCUCGGCGAGUGCCAGCUGAGCAUCUGAGGACUAGGAAGCAGCCCGGUGCCUGGUACCUCCGAGGGAUGUGUGGGUCUGCUGUCUGGCAGAGGCUGCAGCCCAGGAGCUCCCCAGGGGCCACACUCACCUCCUGAGAAUUCCUGGGUGAGCUGUCCUCCAGGUCAGAGCUCUGUGGUCACAGAGGAGGGGUCAGUGAGCAGACGAGGGGGAGCAAAGCCACCCCAAGGCAUGGAGUGGGGUGGGGCACGGGGAGGGACCCCAGGCCAGCCCCUGCUCCCCAGGGAGGCCUUCUCCAGGCUGAGGCCGGUCCUGGCGGCCGCCCAAGGCCCCCCUUCCUUUCACUACGCCCACAGUGGCCCACCAGGCCGCCAAUGGGUCAGUGGCUGAGCUGGGCCCAUGCCGGGGUCCCCCCACGCCUCAAGGGUAGGCCCGCAGCUCCAGCCAAUGGACGGAGGCCCCCAGCCCCCAGGAGGCCCACCGGGACGCGUAUCUCCAGCCGCCGCCGGAGCCUGCCCUUCACGGCCAGCAGCUGGCCCUCACGCUGGAAGAGCUGCAGCUGCAGCUCGUCGGCCUUCUCGUCCAGC